AGCGGCGCAAGGGUGCGUAACACGUGGGCAAUCUGCCGUGAAGUUUGGGAUAAUCCCGCGAAAGCGGGACUAAUACCGGAUGUGACAGUUUGGUGGCAUCACCGAGUUGUCAAAGUUGGGGACCGUAAGGCCUGACGCUUCAUGAUGAGCCCGCGGCCUAUCAGGUAGUUGGCGGGGUAACGGCCCACCAAGCCUAAGACGGGUAGCUGGUCUGAGAGGACGACCAGCCACACUGGAACUGAGACACGGUCCAGACACCUACGGGUGGCAGCAGUCGAGAAUUUUUCACAAUGGGCGAAAGCCUGAUGGAGCGACGCCGCGUGGGGGAUGAAUGGCUUCGGCCCGUAAACCCCUGUCAUUCGCGAUCAAACCUUAUCAUUUAAAAGAUGAUGAGCUGAUAGUAGCGGAAGAGGAAGGGACGGCUAACUCUGUGCCAGCAGCCGCGGUAAUACAGAGGUCCCGAGCGUUGUUCGGAUUCACUGGGCGUAAAGGGUGCGUAGGUGGUGAGGUGUGUCGGAUGUGAAAGCUCGGAGCUCAACUCCGAAAUGGCAUUGGAAACUACCUUGCUAGAGGGUUGGAGGGGGGACUGGAAUACUUGGUGUAGCAGUGAAAUGCGUAGAUAUCAAGUGGAACACCAGUGGCGAAGGCGAGUCCCUGGACAACUCCUGACACUGAGGCACGAAAGCUAGGGGAGCAAACAGGAUUAGAUACCCUGGUAGUCCUAGCCGUAAACGGUGCACGUUUGCUGUAAAAGGAAUCGACCCCUUUUGUGGCGAAGCUAACGCGUAA
rnacentral:rRNA from 1 species